GACGUAGGGCGCGAGCGUUGUCCGGAUUUAUUGGGCGUAAAGAGCUCGUAGGCGGCUCAUUGCGUCAACCGUGAAAACCUGCCGCUCAACGGUAGGCUUGCGGUUGAUACGGGUGGGCUGGAGUUCGGUAGGGGAGACUGGAAUUCCUGGUGUAGUGGUGAAAUGCGCAGAUAUCAGGAGGAACACCGGUGGCGAAGGCGGGUCUCUGGGCCGAUACUGACGCUGAGGAGCGAAAGCGUGGGGAGCGAACAGG
rnacentral:rRNA from 1 species